UACGUAGGGUGCGAGCGUUGUCCGGAAUUAUUGGGCGUAAAGAGCUUGUAGGCGGUUUGUCGCGUCUGCUGUGAAAUCUCAAGGCUCAACCUUGAGCUUGCAGUGGGUACGGGCAGACUAGAGUGUGGUAGGGGGAGCUGGAAUUCCUGGUGUAGCGGUGAAAUGCGCAGAUAUCAGGAGGAACACCGAUGCGAAGGGCAGGUCUCUG
rnacentral:rRNA from 1 species